CAAACCAAGGCCCUUGUUUACUCGAAUUGAGUCUCUACAGACAAAGCAUCUAAUGAUAGAACACCUUAAAUAUUUGAACUAGGAUUCACAUUAAGUCAUUCUUGUCUGUCUAUCAAAUCUUACCCUAAGCAUCAGUAACUUGACAGAGGCUCAUAGGACUUUGCUAGCUUCCAAAACAGUUCAGACUCAACCUAAUAGAAGACAUAUUAUUCAUCUCAAUUAGCCCUUAUUUCCAGUACUCAAUUAACCUCUAUAAGAACAAAAUUCAGCAUACUAACUAAAAUGUCUGUCUAGAUUUACAAAUUAGAUUUCAAACCAAUCACGAUUGGAUAAAUGAACAUAUUCAAAGAAACUGAGAUAAUACAAAACUACACAUAUGAAGUAUCGUUAAUCGAACACUCAUGGUCUUGAAUUGUAUCUCAGUUACAAAGCUUCACAUCUUGCACUUCAUGAGCUAAAGAGGUCCAAGAAAUACCUGGAAAUUGACAAGGAAAAAGAAGUGAACACUCAGCAGUAAACAGUAGAAUGCAUCACCAGCAACACCAAUGCAAACUAGAAAAAUGGAUACGAAACAGUACAAGACAAUCUUAAUCGAACAAUAACCCAAAGCAACCUCAAACCAAACUUCAAACACCCAAAACUCAAUUCAUUUCAGCACCAGAUUAAUCAGAAAUUCUCCAGAAGUUAAAAGUCUUUGAAAUUAUAGAAGAGAAUGCAAUAGAACAAUAAUCUUUUUUCUUGAAGUCUAUGAAAGUAGUAAAAUUUUUGAAGUUUCUGUAUUUUUA
rnacentral:lncRNA from 1 species